AGGAAAAAAAAAUUAAAACAGAAUUAGUUUCUGUUAUCUUCCAAAAAAAAAAACACAAAUUAACCCUAGCCUUCUCUGCUAGGGUUCUCAAAAAAAUUUCUUAAGCCGCCGCCAGCAGCCAGGCCAUUCGAAGGCCUCCGACCACCAGGUGCACUGGAGGAGAACGUGGGUUGUGCGAGGGCAACGUGCUGCAACGUUCGUGCGGAGGGGGCGACGCUCGUGGGAAGCUGGAGGCAGCAACUGAAGAUUCUAGGGUUUUCUGAUUUUUGCAGUUUUGGGCAGAUUUGGGUUUUAGGGUAAUUGGGCUGGUGAAAUUGGGCAACAUACAUGUAAAAAUGGACUAUUUAUUGUUUUAUUUUAUAUUUGGGCUUUAGUAUUUGGUUUUUA